GACGUAGGGGGCCAGCGUUGUUCGGAAUUACUGGGGGUAAAGGGUUCGUAGGCGGUGCGGCAAGGCGGGAGUGAAAUCUCUGGGCUUAACCCAGAGGCUGCUUCCGAAACUGCUGUGCUUGAGUGUGGGAGAGGCGCGUGGAAUUGCAGGUGUAGCGGUGAAAUGCGUAGAUAUCUGCAGGAACACCCGUGGCGAAAGCGGCGCGCUGGACCACUACUGACGCUGAGGAACGAAAGCUAGGGGAGCAAACAGG
rnacentral:rRNA from 1 species